rnacentral:lncRNA from 1 species
AAUUUAACUGCCACUCUGAGUUGAUACCAAGAGUAUGUUUACAAUUUUUUAAAGAGCAACAAAGCCAUUUCAGUAAUUUGCUGGUGCCUUACCAGGUCGGCUAGAGCGUUUAUCCAGGUCAUUCCUGGGAAGAUUCACUCCUCCAAUAAAUGCUACUGUGGCUUUAAAGGUUCACCUUUUUCAGAAAAUUCUGCAGUUAGGCAGUACCUUAUCAACAGGAUUAUUUAUGUUUAAGUCUCUGUCUGGAAACCUGGAUACUAAGUCCUAACUAUUUCUUUCUGUUGCCACAACCAAGUAUAAUUGUAUAAUCACUUUUCAAUACAAAGACAGCCUGGUGUUAGCAGGAUGAGAAACUGUAUAAGCCAGGAAAUCCCAGUGUUGCUUAUAAUCUCUUGCUGAUGGUUAUCACAUGCAUUCCUGUCUCACAGUCUUGGACCUCUCUGUGAAAAUGAGGGAAGAGAAAAAACUGAUAAAAACCUAGAAUGACUUUCUGUUUUCUUUAAGAAUUGGUAUCUGACAACUUUAAAGUUCAAAGACUUCUGGGUUUUAGAGAGAUUUCUGUACUUUCUGUUUUUGGGGGUUUGUUUUGUUUUGUUUUGUUUUGUUUUGAAAUCCUGCUCUAACUUCAGCCAUUACUGUAACUUUAACUCCAGGAAACUGCUGGGCUCCCAGCCCACUGAAUUUUCUUUCUUGGGGCAGAUUAGCAAGGGGCUCUUUGUGGCUAUCUAAUGGGCAUUCUGUUCUGAUAGCAACAACUUAGAAGAGAGAUUUUAGGAAACCAAGUAGCUGCCUUACCACUCCACUAACCAUAUACAUUUGUUCUUUGGGCUUUCUAGAACUGACUCAUGCAGAGCGACUAGUAUUUUCAGCAGAGCUGUUUAGGAGAUCUGCUUUAAUGAAUAGAUAAGAAAGUGUUCAAACACAGAUAGGAGUCACAACCUCCCGGAACCCAUUGCUGGGAAGAGACAUUAACCAUAAUCAAAUAGAUUAAGUACUCAGUGUAACUGAAUUACACUUGUAGGUCAUCUGACUAGCUAUAAUUCAUUGCACAUUCAAACUGAGCAUCUUGGAAGACAUAAAGGAUGAAAUGGUAUGAGGCACCCUGUGGGUUGGAGAUGCACAGACUAAUAAAUUACAGAGCAAACCCAAGUGCUUAAAAAGCACAGUGAAGUCAACAGCGGGGUAGCGAUAAAGCUGAGAGCCAUGGAGGCAGCAGAAGCUCCCUGGAAUGUACCUGGUCAGGAAAGGCACCUUUCAAACCAUAAGAUUUCAUCUGGAGCCUAAUGAAUUAAAUAGCAAGGGCCAGCAGACACAGUGUUGAGCAGGAGGUGUUUUAGACAAAUGUCAAGGACAAUAGAAACAAACUUGGUAAGGUCGCAUAGUUCCAGAAGGAUAGAGCAAUGAGAACAUGGGGACAAAUGGAGUGGAAGGGUCCAGGGAGCCACACCUGUGACUCUCAGCAGGGUCGGGAUUACACAGCCCCAUAACACAGGAAAGGAACUUGGAUUGUAUUUUGAUUAGAGUAAAAUUCUUUCCCAGUUUCUCAGUGGCAAAACAGUUUAAAAGUUUAAAUUGCUUAUUUUUAAUCAUUGAUGAUAAUUUGUAUGUAUAUUUAAUAAUGCCCAAAGGCACUCCUAAGUAAGCCAACACUACUCCACUAGAAUCAAAUCUCCUCUAUCAAGUGUAUCAUUAAAUAUGACAAAGACCAUACUAAGCUACCUAUUCCUUUUAAAUGUGAAUUUAGUACUAGUGAUAUAUAUUCCUAUGAAUUCUGUCAUAUGCCAUCAAACACGUGAAUCUUAACUAGAAAACAAUGAAAUUAUCUUCUACGCAAAGGGGUAAUGCAGUAGAAGAAGCAGAGACAUGGACUCUGCUAAAUGCUUUUUGUAAGGCGCAUACAAAUAAGAGUGCAAACAGAAGACUAUAGAAAAACAGAGCCUGGAAUACAAAGUUAAAUAAAGUAAAAAGGGUUUAUGGACUCAGAUUUGCAGACUGUUGUAAAAAGAACUCGAGUUUAAUCUUCUAACUCAAUUCAUGUGAAUGUUAGCGACACACCUAUAAACGUAAAGACUUAUGCUGAGAUCAACGCUUUCAGAAAAAUCUUUAAAUGUUGCUUUGUAUAACUUGGUAGUGGACCAUUUGAUGAGUAUUUGAAAAGCUCUGAGUUCAGUCCCCAAUACAACCACCAAAAGAGGAGAAUGGGGCUGUCCUCGUGGCUGCACAAUUAGCAGCCAUCCUAACAGAUCAAGAAGUAACGCACUUUCCAACAUGAUCUACUGCCAAAGCUCCAUAGAGUAUCUACACAUUCCUUUUAAGUGCU